rnacentral:sRNA from 1 species
GUUUAAAUAUGUAUUAACUUUUCUCAUUCUAUUUGUCUUGCAACACAAUGGAAUCACAAUAGAUCCAACUAUUUGCACCGGUGAGUUAAAUUUCCUAAAAUUGUCCUAACCUAUUGGCAACAAAUAAAGUACAUCUUUCCCGGUUCUUGGUAGAAUGCUCUAUGUGCUUUUUCCAAUAGUUUUAAUUUUUGCCUGGCUGAAAAUUGUUUUUUUCAUGAAGUACAUAUCUCUUUGAAAACUUUGCAUGUAAUGUAAUCUGACCUAAAACCAAGGCCUGAACUUUAAGACAAAGAUGCUUUCUCUUUGAAAACAAUAUGAUUAAUUUAAUCUUGUUUAUUUUUAACUGCAUGUGAAAAUAUUACUUUCUAGGCGGAAUGGGUAGCCUUGAAUUAUGUGCCGUUUGCUGAAAGGUCUUUAGAAGUAGUUGUGGAUUUAUACCAAAAAACAGCGUGUCACAAAGCAGUGGUGAAUGAGAAAGUGCUCCAGAAUAUUAUUAAGACUCUUAGGGUUCCUCUCAGUUUGAAGUAUUCCUGCCCUUCUGAAAGCACAUGGAAACUAGCAGUAUCCUCUCUCCUCAGAGUUCUUUCUAUUGGGCUACCUGUUGCCCGGCAGCAUGCUUCUUCUGG